rnacentral:rRNA from 1 species
UGCGUAGGCGGUUUAAUAAGUCAGAGGUGAAAGCCCGCAGCUCAACUGUGGAAUUGCCUUUGAUACUGUUAGACUUGAAUCAGGUUGAGGUUGGCGGAAUGUGGCAUGUAGCGGUGAAAUGCAUAGAUAUGCCAUAGAACACCAAUUGCGAAGGCAGCUGACUAGACCUGUAUUGACGCUGAGGCACGAAAGCGUGGGGAGCAAACAGGAUUAGAUACCCUGGUAGUCC